CCGGAUCCAACAGACCUUCUAGUCUAUGUUGUUCGAGAAGAAACAAUGGAAUUUCAGUCGGCGUUCGAUUGUUCUAUUUAUGAACAAGGUAGGACCAUACAACCGGUACAAGCUUAAAACAAGAUUUCUAGUCAGAGCACUCGAGCGCCAUGGAAAAGCGACGGUAAUACAAACUUCAAAACACUCUAUAUCUGUCACAUCAUUUAUAUUUUGUUGGUUAUAUAUUCUACAAUAACAUGGAUAUGUUGCAUCUUACUUUUUUCAGAGAGAGAUUACAAUAUUGAAAGAAAUCCUUUUAUUUUAAGGCAAAAAUAAACUAAUUUGUAUUGUGGAGAGAAUAUUUUGUUCCGAUUCCUUUACAUGCAAAGCUAUCAACUAAGGAUGAAUAGGUUGGUGCUGAUAGCCUGAUACUAUUUUUGGAACUAUAUAUCUAAUAAUGAUCUUUGCUUUGCGUUUGGCUA